GAUAAGGUGAAGAAGAUAAAACUUCAAACUCUAAGGGCUGAUUUUGGAAUUUUAAAAAUGAAAGAAUCCGUAUCCAUUUUGGAUUUUUGUUCAAGAGUGAUGGGUGUUGUGAAUCAACUAAGAAGGUACGGAGAGGAAGUAGAUGAUGUGAAUGUGGUAGAAAAGAUCCUUCACUCUUUAACACCCAAAUUUAAUUAUGUGGUGUGUGCUAUGAGGAGUCUAAAGAUUUAGAAUCUAUGACAAUAGAGCAAUUGGAAAGUUCUUUACAAGACCACUAAGACAAAAUGAAAAGAAGAAAAGAAGAGCCAUUGGAGAAACUUCUUAAAACUCAAGCAUCCUUCAAAAGAUUUUGGAGGUGAAAAAAGUUACAGAGAAAAUGGACAAUGACGACGCUGUGGCCACCGUGGAAGAGGGAGGUGUUAUAUCAACAAAUUCAACAAUGAGGAUAAAAACCACUUAACAUUUAGAGUCCGUGGUCGUAGACAACGGGGAGAAAGAGGACGUGGAUCUUAUCAAGGCACCAAUGAAAUAAGGUAUAACAAAUCUGAAAUUGAGUGCUACAAUUGUCAUAAAUUUGGACAUUACUCUUGGGAAUGUCGUAGUAAUAUUGAAGAAAAAGCUAACCUUAUUGAUUGUAGACAUCUAAUUUCGUCCCUCCCCGAAAAUAUUUUUACCAUUUUACCUCCGUCUUACUGCGUGCCCUCACCCAUGUGAUUAUAUCCCACAAAAAUACAAAAAUAACAACUCCUAACUAAUUUUAUCUUAUUCUAACAACCCCUCCCUAUUAAAUAUUAACAUCUCACAUAUCCCACCUCACCACCUACCCCACAUUCCUCCCUUCCAUUUAUAUUUUAAUUAUCAUUUAACAGAGAGGGGAUGAAAAAAAUUCUUUCAUUUUGGGAUAGACACUUUCAAGGGCCCAUAAAAUAAUUAAAAAAUAAAACAAUUCUCACUCACAGGGGGACUGACAAUUCAUAGACCCACCCUCAUUUUCAUACUCACGCGCUACACACAGUACCCACUACAUCAUGAAUCGAUAUUCUCCAUUGAUGAAAAAAGCAUGGAACACGGUCCAUCUUUUUUUUUCUUCUAAACACACCGCCAUUAAUGGGAGGAGAUCAACAUACUCCUCACAUACACAAACAGAAAUACAGAGAGACCCCAACCUUCCUUUUCUUCUCAUAGGAGAUACACAUAGAGCUACUAUAUACACUUGUUGAAUGCACGCACAGCAGGGGAUAUAGAUACUGAGAGAUUCAUGACAGAGAGAGAUUCGAAGUCGAGAUCUGAAAUAGAGAAGAAAACUACGUUGAUUUUGGGUUACUCGAAAAUGGGUUUUAGUGGGUUUGGUCACUGUUCCGGUGACUAUUUUGCCGGAAUCUUAUCGUUCUCUGUUGAUUUCUGGACAAGUCCGAUAGGAAAAUGAGAAUAUCGCCAGAAAAGUCCAUUUUCAAAAGUUUUCGAGCGACCCCAUUUAGAAAAUAUUCAAACUCUCCGGAAUCCGAUCUACUUUCAUUUGUUUUGGGAACUGUUAGCUCACCGGAGUUCAAGUCGUGCAGGUACUUAGUUUUCUAUCAGAUUUUUGCAGCUUGGGUUCAUCUAUUUUGGUGAUUCAAAAUUAAAACUAGAUUUUGAGUUUCAUCAGUUGUCGUUUUGGGUUCGGAUCUUGGUUUUCAUAUCGUGGUAUUUAUUUUUGGGUUUGAAAUCUGUCUGACUAUUGAUCCUGGGUAUUCACUGUCAUUGGUGGAGUUCCAUUCGAUUUGGAUUUGAGUUGGUAGGCCAUGGUUGAAGUUCAAUUCGAGGUUCCCAGCUGGACUCUGUCUCGUUUAAUUGAAUAACACUGCAUUGAAAUCGAUAAUUGAGGGUAAGCAAACAGUAGGCUCAGAUAGGCAAAUUUAGAACUUGUGGAUUGUGGAAUGUUUGGAUUAUGUGUUGAAAGGUUUUGUUUACUGCAUUUGGAUCGACUGUAUUCAUUUAACCGGGGAAUGCCUCAAGGGAUUUGUAUUGAUUUAUCCGGGAAAUUCCCCAAAGUAUCUUGUACUUGGAGGAAGUUCGUGAUGAAGGCCCGAGGCAUCGGAUGAGGCAUUGGAGCUUAGUCUAAGAUUAGUUUAGGAUAUGAUUUACAUUUCUGUAUUUUUCUAUUUCGGGGUUGUAUAACUCGGACUAGACACUAUAUUUUGGAUUGGUUUUGUUUUGUUUGUUUGUUUGAUUGUUUUACAUAUUUUUAUGUGGUUUGUA